rnacentral:sRNA from 1 species
UUGAUGCCUUGGUAUUCAGUUUCGUUCCACAUGAGAAAUUCGUCUCGCCACUGAACUUCGAACCAGCCGUAAAAAGAAAUGUAUUGAAAACGCUCGUCCACUUUAAGAACUGUCUGGAUUGUCAUCGCAAUGUCGACUUCCACCAGUUCUUUUUGGUUUCUACGGGGCUUCAUUCUGGCGCUGUAGUGUUCAAACAAAUAAUUCUCUAUUGAGUCCGCUGAUGUGAAGUGACAGUGGAGAAGUGCAUGCAAGAGAACGACAGUGUUCACUUGGUUCAUGUUUGAUUUCUUACUUCGUUUACCGUGCUCUAUAGUUGCGUGGCUGCAACUGAAGGAAUUAACGGUGUACAUGGAUCUUCUUUGCCAUAGGUACAGAUAUAUAUGACGACAGAAAAAUGAUGGCAUUUGAUAUUUGCCUUUCAUUUGGCCACAAUAUAGAAACGGUGUUGAAUAUUAAUUCGAUACGGAAUAACCCUGGGGCAUCGCUGUUUAUUGCUUUAUUCCCUUGCCACUGCAACUGCACAGACUGAAAUAAUAUCAAAACUCUUUGUUCUGCAAUUUGUGUAUGGGUUAACCUUACACUGUUCGCCACUUUGGGAAUUUCUUCAGUCGCUGUAUAUGAUUCAUGUCAGCUAUAGAAUUCGAGCAUAAUUGGCGUCAAAUGCAUGUCUGUUGACGCAGAUCUGUACCCUGGUGAUGUCAUCAAUAUUUCAUGGUUUGCUCUUUUUAUUGUAUACGCGUAUUGGUUUCAUGGCAUCCAUGGUUUUUGUACAAUUAUAAUGAUUAAUAUUGAAUGCAUGUGGGUCAUGAUGUUAUCUUAUAAGUUUAAUACUGGGUGCGCUCUCUGCAAUUUUAAAGGGACUUGAACAUAAUUUGAGCUUAAAAAUUUCAAAUUUUACCUUUUUUUCAUUUUUAAUGCAAUGGAAUAGUUAAUAUGAGUGUUUUAAAUGCUUUGUCAAAAUUUAAAUGUCAUAUAUAUAAGGAAUAAGGAAUAAAUCUUUGAGUAUUAUGAUAGAUUUGAUCACGACCCGACCAAAAUUAUUAUCUCAUAAUAUUCAAAGAAUGGUUCCUUAUUACUUUAUUUAUAUAAUUUUCAGCAAUUGUACGAUUAGAAAUUAAAACAUUAAGUAUGCAAACCUCGCGUGCGCCCCAACAAUACUAGUACAUCAUUUGAAUUUAUUGGACUGUAUAGUGCAAAAUCGAUUCGUAGUGUUAUCACAGACAAAGGCGCUGGAAUUAACGUGUAAAUAUAUUGAGUUAUAUUAAGC